rnacentral:rRNA from 1 species
GAUGAACGCUGGCGGUGUGCCUAAUACAUGCAAGUCGAGCGAACAGACGAGGAGCUUGCUCCUCUGACGUUAGCGGCGGACGGGCGAGUAACACGUGGAUAACCUACCUAUAAGUCUGGGAUAACUUCGGGAAACCGGAGCUAAUACCGGAUAACAUGAUGAACCGCAUGGAUCAACAGCGAAAGACGGCUUUGCUGUCAAUUAUAGAUGGAUCCGCGCCGCAUUAGCUAGUUGGUAAGGUAACGGCUUACCAAGGCAACGAUGCGUAGCCGACCUGAGAGGGUGAUCGGCCACACUGGAACUGAGACACGGUCCAGACUCCUACGGGAGGCAGCAGUAGGGAAUCUUCCGCAAUGGGCGAAAGCCUGACGGAGCAACGCCGCGUGAGUGAAGAAGGUCUUCGGAUCGUAAAACUCUGUUAUUAGGGAAGAACAAAUGUGUAAGUAACUAUGCACGUCUUGACGGUACCUAAUCAGAAAGCCACGGCUAACUACGUG